UCCUGCUUCUUUCUUCUUCUCCUGUUCGAUUUCGAGUGAAAUUCCGAGUUAAUUUGAGUGAAUCAACUAGUGAAGUUUCAUAGAUGAAAGUGGAGUUAUUCUCUGUGAAUUAUGAAGGAGAUUUUGCUAUUGCGAAUCAUGAAAAAUUAGAAAAAUGGGAAGAACUGCUGAUACUGUGAAUUGAUAUGGUUUGCUGCCGAGAUAAAAGCUGAAGAUGAUAAGUGCUUGUCUUUGAUUCGAGAGGGCUAGGAGAGACUGAGAAGAUCGAAAAAAUGGUGCUGAGAGAUGGGUUUCAUUGGAAUUUGGUUUACAGCAAGAACUGGUGCUCAAGUUGAACACAAAAUUGGAAAUGGGAAUGAGAUGGAUUUUCAUCUGGAGGUUUGAUGUUCUGCAGGAGAGGAGGAAAGAUGGGUUGCAUUGGUGCUGGUAAAAAUGCAGAUGCAAUGGCUGGUUGUGUUGGUGGAACUGUUGAAGGUGGUUGUGCUACUGCAGUGGUGAAAUUGAGCUGGAAUGAUGUCAAUGGAUAUGUGUUGCAGGACAGAGUUAGCAAGGAAAGUUGAGUUUGUUUUGCUGCCUUUAUGGUAGUGAUGAGUUAUAGUUAUUGGUGAUUCAGGGACUGAGUCGGAAGAACAAAGAAGAAAAAUGACCUAUAUUGGCAGGGAGAUGAUUGAGAGAUUGAGCUAGAAGAUGUCAUGGUGAUGCUGGUGAUAAUUGAUGAUAGAUAGUUCGAGUUGGUUUACAUCAAUAGGGUCCGUGGUUUUAUAGAGAUGAUGCUGCGAACAUAUGGGAGAUGGACGUUGUUUGGGUAUGGCUGGAAAGAAGAAAACUCGAGUUUAGGUUUUAUUUUGUAGGAGUUGUGUCGUGAACGUUGGAUGUUCUUAGGAUAACUAAAGAAGAGCUAUUGAACCAUUGGA